GACGAACGCUGGCGGCGUGCCUAAUACAUGCAAGUUGAGCGCUGAAGGUUGGUACUUGUACCAACUGGAUGAGCAGCGAACGGGUGAGUAACGCGUGGGGAAUCUGCCUUUGAGCGGGGGACAACAUUUGGAAACGAAUGCUAAUACCGCAUAAAAACUUUAAACACAAGUUUUAAGUUUGAAAGAUGCAAUUGCAUCACUCAAAGAUGAUCCCGCGUUGUAUUAGCUAGUUGGUGAGGUAAAGGCUCACCAAGGCGAUGAUACAUAGCCGACCGGAGAGGGUGAUCGGCCAAAUUGGGACUGAGACACGGCCCAAACUCCUACGGGAGGCAGCAGUAGGGAAUCUUCGGCAAUGGACGAAAGUCUGACCGAGCAACGCCGCGUGAGUGAAGAAGGUUUUCGGAUCGUAAAACUCUGUUGGUAGAGAAGAACGUUGGUGAGAGUGGAAAGCUCAUCAAGUGACGGUAACUACCCAGAAAGGGACGGCUAACUACGUG
rnacentral:rRNA from 1 species